UGCCAGCAGCCGCGGUAAGACGGAGGUGGCAAACGUUGCUCGGAAUCACUGGGCUUAAAGGGCGUGUAGGCGGCAGAUCAAGUCGGGUGUGAAAUCCCUCGGCUCAACCGAGGAACUGCAUCCGAUACUGGUCAGCUAGAGUGCGAGAGGGGUGAGUGGAACUCCAGGUGUAGCGGUGAAAUGCGUAGAUAUCUGGAGGAACGCCGGUGAGGAAAGCGACUCACUGGCUCGCAACUGACGCUAAGGCGCGAAAGCUAGGGUAGCGAGCGGGAUUAGAUA
rnacentral:rRNA from 1 species